AGCGAACGCUGGCGGCAGGCCUAACACAUGCAAGUCGAACGAACCUUUCGGGGUUAGUGGCGGACGGGGGGUAAAAAGGGGGAACGUGGCCUUAGGUUUCGGAUUAACUAGGGGAAACUGUGGCUAAUCCCGAUGGGGCCUUCGGGGGAAAGAUUAAUCGCCUUUAGAGCGGCCCGCGUCUGAUUAGCUAGUUGGUUGAGGUAAUGGCUCACCAAGGCGACGAUCAGUAGCUGGUCUGAGAGGAUGAUCAGCCACAUUGGGACUGAGACACGGCCCAAACUCCUACGGGAGGCAGCAGUGGGGAAUCUUGCGCAAUGGGCGAAAGCCUGACGCAGCCAUGCCGCGUGAAUGAUGAAGGUCUUAGGAUUGUAAAAUUCUUUCACCGGGGACGAUAAUGACGGUACCCGGAGAAGAAGCCCCGGCUAACUUCGU
rnacentral:rRNA from 1 species